AGCGAACGCUGGCGGCAGGCCUAACACAUGCAAGUCGAACGAACCUUUCGGGGUUAUUGGCGGACGGGUGAGUAACACGUGGGAACGUGCCUUUAGGUUCGGAAUAACUCAGGGAAACUUGUGCUAAUACCGAAUGUGCCCUUCGGGGGAAAGAUUUAUCGCCUUUAGAGCGUCCCGCGUCUGAUUAGCUAGUUGGUUGAGGUAAUGGCUCACCAAGGCGACGAUCAGUAGCUGGUCUGAGAGGAUGAUCAGCCACAUUGGGACUGAGACACGGCCCAAACUCCUACGGGAGGCAGCAGUGGGGAAUCUUGCGCAAUGGGCGAAAGCAUGACGCAGCCAUGCCGCGUGAAUGAUGAAGGUCUUAGGAUUGUAAAAUUCUUUCACCGGGGACGAUAAUGACGGUACCCGGAGAAGAAGCCCCGGCUAACUUCGUG
rnacentral:rRNA from 1 species